GCUGGUCAGCGAGGGGUACCACGCACACACACAGCAGGCAAUGGUCCAUGGGCUUGAUGACAAAAUAGUGCUCCUGAAAUCAGAAGAGAUCCAACAGUGAUACCAGAAUUUGGAAAGUCUAGGCAAAAAUUAACCAAAUUCAAGUUAAAGCUGUGAACUACCUUGGGUGUUUCAUAUGGAAAGAAGGGGAGCCACUCCCUUGGGCUAGCUUUCCAAAUACUACUUGGCAGCUUCUGGGAACUAUCUUUCCUCCAAUCCUCAUCCAUUCAUUCGGCAUUUAUCAGACACCUCCUUAUGCCAGCAGGUAUGUAGGUAGUAGUGAUACAGGAGUGAGCAGAUAGUGUGAAAUUAUUGCUUACUGUAUUAGAUGUUGUAUCUUCUGCAGCAUUGGUCUUAGUCCAUUCCUGUUGCUCCAAUAAAACAUGUCACGCCGAGUAAUUUGCAAGCAGAUACUGAUUUCUCACAGUUCUGAAGAUUGGCAACAGUGUAAGGUCCCGGCAGUCAGGAGCUGGCAAAGGCCCGUUCCUCCUACGGGAACUUUCUAUACACUCUUACGUGGCGGGAGGAUGUCGUGGAAAAACACUGUGACCAACAGCAACUUGGGA
rnacentral:sRNA from 1 species